UCCAGACUCCUACGGGAGGCAGCAGUGGGGAAUAUUGCACAAUGGGGGAAACCCUGAUGCAGCGACGCCGCGUGAGUGAAGAAGUAUUUCGGUAUGUAAAGCUCUAUCAGCAGGGAAGAAAAACCGACCAUAGGGUCGCUAGACGGUACCUGAUUAAGAAGCCCCGGCUAACUACUUGCCAGCAGCCGCGGUAAUACGUAGGGGGCGAGCGUUAUCCGGAUUCACUGGGUGUAAAGGGAGCGUAGACGGCCGUGCAAGCCAGGAGUGAAAGCCCGGGGCCCAACCCCGGGACUGCUCUUGGAACUGUGCAGCUAGAGUGCGGGAGGGGCAGGCGGAAUUCCUGGUGUAGCGGUGAAAUGCGUAGAUAUCAGGAGGAACACCGGCGGCGAAGGCGGCCUGCUGGACCGCGACUGACGUUGAGGCCCGAAAGCGUGGGGAGCAAACAGGAUUAGAUACCCGCGUAGA
rnacentral:rRNA from 1 species